UACGGAGGGGGCUAGCGUUGUUCGGAAUUACUGGGCGUAAAGCGCACGUAGGCGGCUUUGCAAGUCAGAGGUGAAAGCCCGGGGCUCAACCCCGGAAUAGCCUUUGAGACUGCAUCGCUAGAAUUGUGGAGAGGUAAGUGGAAUUCCGAGUGUAGAGGUGAAAUUCGUAGAUAUUCGGAGGAACACCAGUGGCGAAGGCGACUCGCUGGACUGAUACUGACGCUGAGGUACGAAAGCGUGGGGAGCAAACAGG
rnacentral:rRNA from 1 species